AGAUCAAACCCUUAACAUUUAAUUAAAAAUAGAUGAGUCCCUUCCAGUCAAUCACAGCCCAAGUUGGUGGCGUUGUUGUAUAAUACAUUUAUAAUGUGCAACGAAAAUAAACUAGUAAUUAAGGACAAAUUACACAUUAACAAAAGAAAACGAAUCCACACACAUCUGUGUGUGUAA